UCACCCCUUACCCUCCCUCCAUGGCAACAAAGACAGACAAACAGGAAGCAGCUGUUACCAGGGAAACAGCCAGAAGGUCUGCAGCGCUGCACGGCGGCAAAGUGUGAGCGAGCCACUCAAGACUGCAGCUGCCAGCUUCUUAAUGGCUUCCAGAUCUUCACAUCUCUUCCUGCGAUCAUUCCCCCUCUUUUUCCCCGUCUCUGUGUUUCUCCGCUCCAUCUCAGAUGAACAGGCGGAAGUGGAAAUCCGGCGAGCUCCAGCCACUGGUCGCCCGAUGCAUGGAACAUUGAACCUGCCUUCAUGCUCUGUGGAAUCCUGGAACCCUGGAUCUGUCGGUUCCUGUUUGGAUUGGAACCCCUGAUCGGGCUGAGGACUCCUGGAUUCCAGAACUGUUCCUGUCUGAUCUGUAUUCCUGACUUGCAUCGGAUCCCUGCCUGCUCAUUGGAACUGCUGCAUCCGUAUGCUCUGGAUGGCCCAGGGCCACAUCUCGUUGGCAGUGCAUCG